AGAGUUUGAUCAUGGCUCAGAGUGAACGCUGGCGGCAGGCCUAACACAUGCAAGUCGAACGGCAGCACAGGGGAGCUUGCUCCCUGGGUGGCGAGUGGCGGACGGGUGAGGAAUGCGUCGGAAUCUGCCUUUUCGUGGGGGAUAACGUAGGGAAACUUACGCUAAUACCGCAUGCGACCCUGCACCGGGAGGUGCUGGGUGAAAGCGGGGGACCUUCGGGCCUCGCGCGGAAAGAUGAGCCGACGCCGGAUUAGCUAGUUGGCGGGGUAACGGCCCACCAAGGCGACGAUCCGUAGCUGGUCUGAGAGGAUGAUCAGCCACACUGGAACUGAGACACGGUCCAGACUCCUACGGGAGGCAGCAGUGGGGGAUAUUGGACAAUGGGCGCAAGCCUGAUCCAGCCAUGCCGCGUGAGUGAAGAAGGCCUUCGGGUUGUAAAGCUCUUUUGUUGGGAAAGAAAAGCUUUCGGUUAAUAACCGGGAGUCCUGACGGUACCCAAAGAAUAAGCACCGGCUAACUUCGUGCCAGCAGCCGCGGUAAUACGAAGGGUGCAAGCGUUACUCGGAAUUACUGGGCGUAAAGCGUGCGUAGGUGGUGGUUUAAGUCUGAUGUGAAAGCCCUGGGCUCAACCUGGGAAUGGCAUUGGAAACUGGAUCACUGGAGUGCGGUAGAGGAUGGCGGAAUUCCCGGUGUAGCAGUGAAAUGCGUAGAGAUCGGGAGGAACAUCCGUGGCGAAGGCGGCCAUCUGGACCAGCACUGACACUGAGGCACGAAAGCGUGGGGAGCAAACAGGAUUAGAU
rnacentral:rRNA from 1 species